rnacentral:lncRNA from 1 species
UUUGUUCAAUGCCCUUCUCGGAUUUGUGGGUCAUCCAGUUUAUUCUCUCAACCAUCUACCAUAAAAUAAAAGUGGUGUUCAGCUGUUAGUAAUGUCCACUGAAUUGUUUCAAAUAGAUACUCCUUGAAAGUCAAUAUAAUUAAGCCAAAGUUCAUACAGAGAAACGCAACAGUACAACAUGUUAGAAAACAAAAUUACAAUGUGGUUCUGGGACAAGUAUUAGAAUUCUAAUUUCAGGUAGAAGACCAAAGAAAAAAAAAUCUUAUUUCUUAAGUCUGAGCCCAAACAGCCGCAUCCAAUACUCAGGAUCAAGAUUUAAAGUUAAAACUGAAUGGGGUGACAGUGGGUAGCUCACUGCUCCAUUUUGCAAGUGAAAAUUAGCAACAACAUCUAGAGCUUUUCCUCGUAUUUUCUCUCUGGUAAGAUACCUAUACAUCAUAUGAGAAGGCUGUCAGUCUCUGCAAUUGAUAACACAUAAUGUUCCAUCCAUUCAGAGAAUGAAUAGUGUUAACUCCAAUCGUUGGUAACAUUCCCAAAUUCCAAUGUGCAUAGCAAAAGAACACGAAUCACAAUCAGAGGCUCGGGAAAGACCAGACGCAGUGACCGUUAACAAAUCCAAAUAUAUAUAUAUAUAUAUAGGACGUACAUAGAAAUUAGAUAUUUCGUAAUUAUUUCCAUAACAAAAAACAUACUGGCUGCAACAGAAUGAAAGACUAACCUAUUGACGAUCACAACAGUACAUACCAUCCCAUCUGAUGUUGCCAUCUCUCACAUUUGAUGAUUACAUCUUGUUAUUUCUAACAUGUACACCAUCGAGCAAUUGCUUUAUUAGAAAUAUAUUUACACAAUAUGAUCAGAGCAACAUCAAGGAGUCCAAUGAGGUGCACAGAUUCUCCUCAAAUUCCACAUGCAACCCUUAUAGAGAAGAGACAUAUUUGCUUAGGUGAUUUUUGAUUGAGCUCCUACAGAAAAAUUCAAAGAAAUCAUGAGGAGCAUGGAGCCAAGCAAACUGAUCAGAGUAAAUCAUGAGAGGAGAAGCCUCUCAACCUACUACAGGUAAUCGAAGUCAACAUUAAUUGGUGUAAGAAUUAAACCGUAAUGUAUAUCAACAACCCAGCAGUUGAUAAAAUAACCCUAACACAACCCAUUAAUACAAUAUAUAAUGACAUGACGUAGAUAGAGAUUGUGCAGAUAUCAUGAUCUACGAACCGUAUCUACAAAUAUUGAUUGCAAAGUCACAAACAAAACCUCCUGACAUCACAAAACAAAUGUUUCAUCAACAGAAACUCUAGCGAAUGCCAAUUGGAUUAUAUGAGUAAGAUAGGGACAUUAAAAAAGGAAAAAGAUAGUUUAAUAUUAUAUAUUCUAUUUUCUUACUUCACAUCACAGAGAAGCAAGUCAAAGAUAUUGCGAUACAUCUUAUCCUUCUAUAAAUUGACUGCAAAGGCACAAUCCCGACCAAAUUAUAUAGAACGAAUUGCUCCUGUGGUCCAAGUAUUGCAAAAAAAGUUAUAUAAAGAUUAUUCAACAGUGGGGAUAAACAUGACAUGUACUACCGAAAUCCCUGGAGCUUAGUCUGCAUGUCUAUUCGUCCUCUACGUAAAUCGGUGGUGGCCAAGAUGUGCUAACAGCUCACCUACCUCUCCCCGUUUAUCAAUAAAAUCAAUGCAGCACAAAGCAAGAAAAAAUAAGAUAGAUAUAUCUACCUGAUGUAAUUGCUUGUAACUCCAGAGUGUUAGUAGAGUCGAGGAGAGAACACCCAGCCAAUGUUACAGCAGAUCAAUGUGCAACCUUUGUUAUGGACGGUCCCCGUUGUAAAUCAACCUGGAAGAGAUGGAGAGGCGCCGGGAAGCUGAGGGAUUUGAUGCAUCAGAGCAGCCAUGGCCCAUGGACAGUGGAGAAGUGCCAGCGGCUCGAGAUCUGACGUGUCGCAGCCAGCAUAGGAAGAGGAGAGGCGGCGGUAGAUCAAGCCUUGGGCGCGGCAGGCGGCAGCACACUCACCCCUGUCGCACCCUUCCUUCUUCCCCUUCCUUCUUCUCCUCCCUGGAUCCUCCUCUAUCUCUGUUUUCUACCAGAAAAACCGAAGCCCUGCCAUGACCUUGGACCCCUCCCUACCAGCCAUGAAGGAUCGCCUCCACCUGCAAGGGCUUCGCGCCACCGCGCCGGAUCCCUCCUCCCGCGCCCGCUGGAUCCCGCCGCCACCGUUCUGCAUCGAUCAGACGCGUCGUCCCCAGCCACUCGAGCCGCCGCGUUGACCUGAUCCAGAAGCUGCGCUCGAGCGCUGCGGCGGGGGCGGCGAGUGGGCAGAGGUGCGGCCGCGGCGGCGGGCGGGUUGAGGUCGACGGCGGGGGCAAGUGGUGUGGCGGCGGGGGGAUUUGGCUCGGCCUGGGCACAGGCCAGGGUUGAGCCGAGGAGGCAGAUGCGUCCAGGUAGAUUUUCCAGCGAAUUGUUUUUCCGU